AUAUUUGAGAAAAGGAAGAAAACCACAGUGAUUUUUUCAAUUGUGUUAAUCUUAUAAUUAAAAUGAAUCAUUCGAUCACUUCCUUGUACAUGCGUGUGUGUGCGUGUGUGUGUGUGUGUGUGUGUAGAGAGAGAGAGAGAGAGGGAGGGGGGAUUUAAAGAGACAGGAUUUAAUUUUUUGCAAGCUUUUUUAAGUGCAAUAUUUGGACGGAGAGAGAGAGAGAGAGAGAGAGAGAGAGAGAGAGAGAGAGAGAGAGAGAGAGAGAGAGAGAGAGAGAGAGAGAGAGAGAGA